AUAUACGACCAUAGCCAAAGUAGAUUACCGGGUCCCGUUUCGCUCCCCAUACGUAGAAAUCUUUGUGCGGCAGAUUAUUAGUCAGGUGGGAGACCACUGGCGAAUCCCUGCUGUUGUAUGUU
rnacentral:rRNA from 1 species